CGAAGCCUGACGGAGCAAUACCGCGUGAGGGAAGAAGGCUUUUGGGUUGUAAACCUCUUUUGUCAGGGAAGAAGAAUUGACGGUACCUGAAGAAAAAGCAUCGGCUAACUCCGUGCCAGCAGCCGCGGUAAUACGGAGGAUGCAAGCGUUAUCCGGAAUCAUUGGGCGUAAAGGGUCCGCAGGUGGCGAAUAAAGUCUGCUGUUAAAGACCGGGGCUUAACUCCGGAAAGGCAGUGGAAACUGAUUAGCUAGAGUACGGUAGGGGUAGAGGGAAUUCCCAGUGUAGCGGUGAAAUGCGUAGAUAUUGGGAAGAACACCGGUGGCGAAAGCGCUCUACUAGGCCGAAACUGACACUGAGGGACGAAAGCUAGGGUAGCGAAAGGGAUUAGAUACCCCUGUAGUCUUAGCGGUAAACGAUGGAUACUAGGUGUAGCUUGUAUCGACCCGAGCUGUGCCGAAGCUAACGCGAUAAGUAUCCCGCCUGGGGAGUACGCACGCAAGUGUGAAACUCAAAGGAAUUGACGGGGGCCCGCACAAGCGGUGGAGUAUGUGGUUUAAUUCGAUGCAACGCGAAGAACCUUACCAGGGCUUGACAUGUCGCGAAUCUAGCGGAAACGUUAGAGUGCCUUAGGGAAUGCGAACACAGGUGGUGCAUGGCUGUCGUCAGCUCGUGUCGUGAGAUGUUGGGUUAAGUCCCGCAACGAGCGCAACCCUCGUCCUUAGUUGCCGAUAUUAAGUUAGGCACUCUAGGGAGACUGCCGGGGACUACUCGGAGGAAGGUGGGGAUGACGUCAAGUCAGCAUGCCCCUUACGUCCUGGGCGACACACGUACUACAAUGGUUGGGACAAAGGGCAGCAAGCUCGCGAGAGUAGCGAAUCUCAUCAAACCCAGCCACAGUUCAGAUUGCAGGCUGCAACUCGCCUGCAUGAAGUAGGAAUCGCUAGUAAUCGCAGGUCAGCAUACUGCGGUGAAUUCGUUCCCGGGCCUUGUACACACCGCCCGUCACACCAUGGAAGCUGGCUACGCCCGAAGUCGUUACCCUAACCCGGUUUUGGGAGGGGGAUGCCGAAGGUAGAGCUAGUGACUGGGGUGAAGUCGUAACAAGGUAGCCGUACCGGAAGGUGUGGCCGGAUCACCUCCUUU
rnacentral:rRNA from 1 species